GAUGAACGCUGGCGGCGUGCCUAAUACAUGCAAGUCGAGCGAACAGACGAGGAGCUUGCUCCUCUGACGUUAGCGGCGGACGGGUGAGUCACACGUGUAUCACCUACCUAUAUUACUGGUAUCACUUCGGGAAACCGGAUCUAAUCCCGGAUAAUAUAUUGAACCGCAUUGUUCAAUAGUGAAAGUCGGUUUUGCUGUCACUUAUCGCUGGAUCCGGGCCGCUUUAGCUAGUUGGUAAGGUAACGGCUUACCACGGCGACGCUGCGUAGCCGACCUGAGAGGGGGAACGGCCACACUGAAACUGAGAGACGGCCCAGGCACUGAGGGGAGGCAGCAGUAGGGAAGGGUGGGAAAAGGGCGAAAGCUUGAAGGAGGAACGGAGGGUGAGUGAUGAAAGUCUGCGGAUCGGAAAACGCUGUUAUGAGGGAAGAACAAAUGUGUAAGUAACUAUGCACGUGUGGAGGGUACCGAAUCAGAAAGCCACGGCUAACUACGU
rnacentral:rRNA from 1 species